AGAGUUUGAUCCUGGCUCAGGACGAACGCUGGCGGCGCGCCUAACACAUGCAAGUCGAACGAGAAAGAGGGAGCUUGCUCUCUUGAUCGAGUGGCGAACGGGUGAGUAACGCGUGAGGAACCUGCCUCAAAGAGGGGGACAACAGUUGGAAACGACUGCUAAUACCGCAUAAGCCCACGGCUCGGCAUCGAGCAGAGGGAAAAGGAGUGAUCCGCUUUGAGAUGGCCUCGCGUCCGAUUAGCUAGUUGGUGAGGUAACGGCCCACCAAGGCGACGAUCGGUAGCCGGACUGAGAGGUUGAACGGCCACAUUGGGACUGAGACACGGCCCAGACUCCUACGGGAGGCAGCAGUGGGGAAUAUUGCACAAUGGGGGAAACCCUGAUGCAGCGACGCCGCGUGGAGGAAGAAGGUCUUCGGAUUGUAAACUCCUGUUGUUGAGGAAGAUAAUGACGGUACUCAACAAGGAAGUGACGGCUAACUACGUGCCAGCAGCCGCGGUAAAACGUAGGUCACAAGCGUUGUCCGGAAUUACUGGGUGUAAAGGGAGCGCAGGCGGGAGAACAAGUUGGAAGUGAAAUCCAUGGGCUCAACCCAUGAACUGCUUUCAAAACUGUUUUUCUUGAGUAGUGCAGAGGUAGGCGGAAUUCCCGGUGUAGCGGUGGAAUGCGUAGAUAUCGGGAGGAACACCAGUGGCGAAGGCGGCCUACUGGGCACCAACUGACGCUGAGGCUCGAAAGUGUGGGUAGCAAACAGGAUUAGAUACCCUGGUAGUCCACACCGUAAACGAUGAUUACUAGGUGUUGGAGGAUUGACCCCUUCAGUGCCGCAGUUAACACAAUAAGUAAUCCACCUGGGGAGUACGACCGCAAGGUUGAAACUCAAAGGAAUUGACGGGGGCCCGCAC
rnacentral:rRNA from 1 species